rnacentral:rRNA from 1 species
UACGGGGGGGGCAAGCGUUGUUCGGAAUUACUGGGCGUAAAGCGCGCGUAGGCGGCUUUUCAAGUCAGGCGUGAAAUCCUUAGGCUUAACCUAAGAAUUGCGCUUGAUACUGUUGAGCUAGAGUGUGGAAGGGGCUACUAGAAUUCCGUGUGUAGCGGUGAAAUGCGUAGAUAUACGGAGGAACACCAGCGGCGAAGGCGGGUUGCUGGGCUGAUACUGACGCUGAUGCGCGAAAGCCAGGGGAGCGAACGGG